rnacentral:rRNA from 1 species
UGGGGGAAUAUUGCACAAUGGGGGGAAACCCUGAUGCAGCGACGCCGCGUGAGCGAAGAAGUAUCUCGGUAUGUAAAGCUCUAUCAGCAGGGAAGAAAAUGACGGUACCUGACUAAGAAGCCCCGGCUAACUACGUGCCAGCAGCCGCGGUAAUACGUAGGGGGCAAGCGUUAUCCGGAUUUACUGGGUGUAAAGGGAGCGUAGACGGCAAUGCAAGUCUGAAGUGAAAGGACGGGGCUUAACCCUGUGACUGCUUUGGAAACUGUCGAUCUAGAGUGUCGGAGAGGUAAGUGGAAUUCCUGGUGUAGUAGUGAAAUGCGUGGAUAUCAGGAAGAACACCGGAGGCGAAGGCGGCUUACUGGACGAUAACUGACGUUGAGGCUCGAAAGCGUGGGGAGC